rnacentral:rRNA from 1 species
GACGAACGCUGGCGGCGUGCUUAACACAUGCAAGUCGAGCGGUAAGGCCCUUUCGGGGGUACGACGAGCGGCGAACGGGUGAGUAACACGUGGGUGACCUGCCCUCCAGCUCUGGGAGUAAGCCUGGGAAACCGGGUCUAAUACUGGAUAUGACUCCAUGACGCAUGUUGUGGGGUGGAAAGCCUUGUGCGGCUGAGGAUGGGCCCGCGGCCUAUCAGCUUGUUGGUGGGGUGAGGCCUACCAAGGCGACGACGGGUAGCCGGCCUGAGAGGGCGACCGGCCACACUGGGACUGAGACACGGCCCAGACUCCUACGGGAGGCAGCAGUGGGGAAUCUUGCGCAAUGGGCGAAAGCCUGACGCAGCGACGCCGCGUGAGGGAUGACGGCCUGG